AUUGAACGCUGGCGGCAUGCUUAACGCAUGCAAGUCGAACGGCGGCACGGCCUAGUUUACUAGGUGGGUGACGAGUGGCGAACGGGUGAGUAACGCGUAGGGAUCUGCCCUAAAGUGGGGGACAACCCGGGGAAACUCGGGCUAAUACCGCAUAAUCUCUUCGGAGUAAAGCUGGGGACCUUCGGGCCUGGCGCUUUAGGAUGAACCUGCGUCCGAUUAGCUAGUUGGUAGGGUAAAGGCCUACCAAGGCGACGAUCGGUAGCUGUUCUGAGAGGAAGAGCAGCCAUACUGGGACUGAUACACGGCCCAGAUUCCUACGGGAGUCAGCAGUGGGGAAUAUUGGACAAUGGGGGGAAGCCCUGAUCCAGCAAUGCCGCGGGUGUGAAGAAGGCCUGAGGGUUGUAAAGCACUUUCGUUGGGGAGGAAAGACUCGGUAAUAAUACUAUCGAGGGAUGACGCUACCCAAAUAAGAAGCACCGGCUAACUCUGUGCCAGCCGCCGCCGUAA
rnacentral:rRNA from 1 species